rnacentral:lncRNA from 1 species
UGAGUCGGGCACGUUCGUUGAGUCGAAGGUCGACCGACCUCCGGACAUACCCCGAUGACCCGAUCAUUCUGUAGGGUCGAAUGUUGUCCGAUGUGUUCAGUCGGAUGGCGUCCGACGCGUUCAAUCGAGAAAACGAUGACAAGUCGAGUUUCCAUUACCCAGACUGUGGUCGGGUGCAUACGUCGCGGCGCAUGAUAAACGGUGGCAAGCCGAAUAUCCUUCGAUCG